CAGGAGUGAAGUGGUGCUGGACUGCAGUUUUUGCAAAAUGGGCCACCAAGGGUGCCUGGAAGCAGAGAAAGGAUCGGCAGAGGUGCUAUCUGGUUUGAAGGAGGAGGUCUCUGCUUCUGAUCCUAUGCCAGUUCCUUCAGCUUCUUUGAGUGAGUACUGAGCUUGGGGUGCGCUAGUGGGCCAUAGAGAAAUCAGUGUGUCUAGGCAGGCAAGCGAGCAGGUUUUCUGGGGUCAGGGAGAAGUAGUGUGCUUGCUUAGGGCUGUUUAAAU